CAGUCAUCUUUGCAGGGCCGUCUUAGAAGUCAGUCCUUCUCCAGACUAGUUCCGUGCUUGCAGUUCCCUGGUUCCCAAGCCUCUCUCUCUGCCCCAGGAGCCUUAAGGGCAACACGGCGACCCAAACAGUGGGCGCUAGUCCCUCGAUUCGUUUCCAGGGUUGAAGACAAAUUUUCAAAAAGGCGCUGAGAGCCAGGGCCAUUCCAGAGAGGCUGUUAACUUAAUGUCCCGCCUCGUUCCUGAGGAGCCCGGGCCCACUUGAACUCCACUGGGGUCAGGUGCUGCUGUCGCCUGUGAUUGCUUCUGGUUUUCCCAUUUGGAUGGGGACUGCUAUUCCAUCUGCAAGAGAGCAAGUGCAGGGAUGAGGCUGCUUAAGCAUGUGUGGUGGGCGCCGUAGCAACCCUGGGCCUCUGCUUCCUGAGCUUCCCUGGCUGUCCUCCCUAAGCUGCCACAGACGUAAGGGGGAGCCUCACCUCCUCCCACAACCCAGGGCACAGCAGGGUGCACGGCUGACCUGUCCUCCUCGCCUGUGG